AUACGGAGGGUGCGAGCGUUAAUCGGAAUUACUGGGCGUAAAGGGUGCGUAGGCGGCUUGAUAAGUCGGAUGUGAAAGCCCCGGGCUUAACCUGGGAAUUGCAUUCGAUACUGUCAGGCUAGAGUAUGUCAGAGGUUGGCGGAAUUCCUGGUGUAGCGGUGAAAUGCGUAGAUAUCAGGAGGAACACCAGUGGCGAAGGCGACUAACUGGGACAAUACUGACGCUGAGGCACGAAAGCGUGGGGAGCAAACAGGAUUAGAAACCCCAGUAGUCC
rnacentral:rRNA from 1 species